rnacentral:lncRNA from 1 species
AUGAGUCCAACAAUAACCUCAAAAAUCACCAUUCCAAGAACUUCAUCAGCAACACCUCUUGUCACAAUAAAGUCAACAACUGAACAUACAACAUUGGUUUUUACUACGCCAAGUAUGACCACAACUGUCACUACACCCUCCAUAACUACCUCAACAAAAAGGACCACAUCCAGUAAGCCGAUAUCUACACCUACUGCCUCACCAACCACUGCUUCAACAGAGACAGAAAAAGUAAGGGUCACUACACCACUCUUCGAGACCCCUACAAAAAAGGAAAUGACAACCACCUCUAUAUCUUCUCAUACUACAUCUCAGAUUGCAACCUCCAGCCAGCCUGAACUAACAACAGUAGAGAGUGAGGGAACUGAAGCAACCACUCUACACCACCGAGUCUCAGUAGGUGAGUAAGAAGAACCUGAGAGCUGCCAUUAGCCUACAACUCUUUCAC